UACGAAGGGGGCUAGCGUUGCUCGGAAUCACUGGGCGUAAAGGGCGCGUAGGCGGCCAUUCAAGUCGGGGGUGAAAGCCCAGGGCUCAACCCUGGAAUUGCCUUCGAUACUGUUUGGCUAGAGACCGGAAGAGGUUAGUGGAACUGCGAGUGUAGAGGUGAAAUUCGUAGAUAUUCGCAAGAACACCAGUGGCGAAGGCGGCUAACUGGUCCGGUUCUGACGCUGAGGAGCGAAAGCGUGGGGAGCAAACAGG
rnacentral:rRNA from 1 species